GCAAGCGUUACUCGGAAUUACUGAGCGUAAAGCGUGCGUAGGUGGUUUGUUAAGUCUGUUGUGAAAGCCCCGGGCUCAACCUGGGAAUGGCAAUGGAUACUGGCAAGCUAGAGUGCGGUAGAGGGUAGUGGAAUUCCCGGUGUAGCGGUGAAAUGCGUAGAGAUCGGGAGGAACACCAGUGGCGAAGGCGGCUACCUGGACCAGCACUGACACUGAGGCACGAAAGCGUGGGGAGCAAACAGG
rnacentral:rRNA from 1 species